GACGAACGCUGGCGGCGUGCUUAACACAUGCAAGUCGAACGGGCCCGCCCCUGUUUUUGGGGGUGGGUUGAGUGGCGAACGGGUGAGUAUCACGUGAGUAACCUGCCCCCUGCUCCUGGAUAACUGCUUGAAAGGGCGGCUAAUACGGGGUGUGCCGGCUGGUCCGCAUGGGCCUGGUCGGGAUAGUUUCAUCUUCGGGUGUUUCCGUGGGGGAUGGGCUCGCGGCCUAUCAGCUUGUUGGUGGGGUGAUGGCCCACCAAGGCGGUGACGGGUAGCCGGCCUGAGAGGGUGGGCGGCCACACUGGGACUGAGACACGGCCCAGAGUCCUGCGGGAGGCAGCAGUGGGGGGUAUUGCACAAUGGGCGGAAGCCUGAUGCAGCGACGUCGCGUGAGGGAUGGAGGCCUUCGGGUUGUGAACCUCUUUCUCCGGUGGUGAAGGCCCUGUCCGUUGCGGCGGGGUUGACGGUAGCCGGGGAUGAAGCGCCGGCUAACUACGUG
rnacentral:rRNA from 1 species